rnacentral:rRNA from 1 species
UACAGAGGGUGCGAGCGUUAAUCGGAAUUACUGGGCGUAAAGCGUGCGUAGACGGUUAUUUAAGUCGGAUGUGAAAGCCCCGGGCUCAACCUGGGAAUUGCAUUCGAGACUGAAUAGCUAGGGUGCGGUAGAGGGAAGCGGAAUUUCCGGUGUAGCGGUGAAAUGCGUAGAGAUCCGGAGGAAGACCGGUGGCGAAGGCGGCCUGCUGGGCAGUUACUGACACUGAGGCGCGACAGCGUGGGGAGCAAACAGG